GAAUGUAGGGAACCAUUUUCCCUGAAGGAAGGAAGCUUAAGUCUUCUGGUGGCUCUGGGGAGCUCUGUGGAAGAAGGCUCCUGAAGAGCCAGAAUGAUGUGAUGGAGCAGCAGGUGAUGCUGAAAGACUUCAAGAGGAGUUAGAGUUAUAGCUGGUGUGGAUUUACCACGAUCUUCCCAUCCAUGUUCUCCUGGAUAAUCAGCCAAUCUCCAGUGCUGAAUUCCCAGAGCUGGGCUCACGAAGGAGCAGAAAGGGAAGUGAGCAGAUUCAUCAUGCUUAUGUGGCUUCGGACCAUAAGUGCUUUGUUUGGGAGCACGCUUGGAAACUCAGCUGUUGUGCUGGAAAACAUUCAGUAUUUAUGUAUCAACAGUGAAUAACUGCCUCCAGACAGCCAGAAGGAUGCAAUUCGUGCAGUGGGAUGGGGCAAUGCUGGGUGAGGGGCUUUGCACGGGACCUCUCUGAGCAAUGGGUUUGGGCCAUGAGGAUGGGAGUGGCAGUGGAAGGAGAGCACAUCUGUGUGCUGCCUGUGCAGAGCCCAGGAAGAGCCCCCAGUGAAAGGAACAAACUCUUGGUCCACAUGCAGCUCUGCAGAGAUGAAGCCAACAGUCCUUGCUUGAGACUGCACAGGUGAUCAAGCCAAGAAGCCACUGCAGAUGGAGAAAGCCAAGCUGAGAAGCUGCAACACUUCCAGGCACUUGACUUUCUCAAGGAAGGAGAGUGGUGGGAGACUUUGGUCUUCUGGGUGUCCCUUGGCAUUGCAUGGGCACUUGGCAAAGGCUUCAAGCACUCUUAUUUCCCCCCCAGUUCUGUACGAUCUUAUUUUCAAAAGCAGCUUGGGCACUUGGCAUUCAUUUCCCUAUGGAGUGCCAAUGGAAACCAGGUUCCUGUGGCCUGCCUCUAUCUUGAGGGUAUCAAUCAAUUUGCUUGCACUGACACUUCAGGUAAUUAGACAGCUAAUUGGGAUGUGAUCCUCAGAACGGAUCACUUCUGCAAAUGCUACCUCAGACAUUUAAACUCCAGGUGCUUGAUUUGUUUCUCUGAUUCCUCCCAAGUCCAUGACCCUAUUAGGAGGUCACCUAAAAAGAGGAAACAAAUCCUGCCUUUUGGGAGGUCUGCUUUUUGUUCCUUGGUUGUUUGGAUAUUUUUGGCAAGCUGCUGACCCUGCCUGGAUGUCUCUGGUUUGUUUCUAUCCCCAGAGCAGAGCUCUUGGCAUUGCCUUCACACUUACCUUGAUGACAUUCUGGAGCUGUGCUUGGCUAUUACAUCUCAAUGCGUGUGCAUCUCCUUUGCUAUUCACCACCUUCACUCUCCUAUUUAAAAGUGUAAAUAAUGACAUGUCCUGGGAAUAAACAAUGAGUUCAG
rnacentral:lncRNA from 7 species